GUCUGUUUGUGAGUUCUGUUUAAGUUCUCUGGUUCUGGUUCUGGUCUUGUGUCUCUGGUUCUCCUUUGUUUGUCUCAGUUCUGAUCGUGUUUGUUCAGACUUGUGAUUUAUUUUCGGAUCUCUGAGUGUGACAGCCAUUAAAGUUACUUAAUGUUUGUUACAUCAUCGUCUGUGUUGGGACCAAACAUGAAGUGAUGCAUACAGACAGAAACAACAGCUUUUAGACAGACAGGAGCUGUCAAUCAUCAGUAUUGUCUAAUCAUGUGUUAGUGGGAGGGGCAAAGAGCCUCAGGCUGUUUGUUUCCAAACAAACUGACACAAAACCAGGAAGAUCCACGACGACUGAGCUGUACGCCAUGAGUCCACGUGAGUCCAGCUGAAUACCAGCGAACCCAGAGGGCGAAGCUGGGUCAGAAACCACACCCAGAGGGCGAGGCUGGGUCAGAACCAUCUAGCUGACUCCCA